AGGUAAUCUCAACGCAUCUUCCUCGGAUCCGUUUGGCUUUCUGCUCCCUGUUUUGUCUCGGCGGUGAAUGUUUUUGGGUCAUGUAGCUAUCAGUGGUACUAUGUUUGUUUGGAUCAGAGGAAGCUCACGCAGAGGUCGGAGAGGGUGAAUUCCGUGGAUCUGCAUACGACAUAGCCAUGGGGAAACAAUGGAUGGAUAGAUCAUCAAGGUUCAGGUCUUCAGCUCUGAAGCUUGGUAUGAAACGUCCAGGUAUUCAUCAAUAAAGUUUGUCUGAGUUAAUCUACUGUGAGUUCCCAGAUUAUUGGCCGACGAUAAGGUUAGAAAUUUGCUCUUUUUGCGCUGGCCAGAGAGAUGACGGAUGAUGUUUUGAUAGGCAGCUCAUUCUUUAAUUUUGCAAUUCCAGCUAGGUAGGUUUUCUGUGACUGCUCAUUCUUUUGCGAUGAGUGUAAUUCAUCAAGAAAUCUGAGAUUUAAAUGGGACAUUCCUCAAGAAAAAGAUGUCGGUAUUGGUAUGCAGAUUGUCGUGAUGAUUAUGGAGAUACUCAAUUGGAAUCUAGGGAGAAAAUCAGAAAUAACACUAGAAGUUACAACACUGUAUUUUAAAGAUGCCAAGUGGCAGGGCUAUUUUAGCAUGUGGUUAAAAUAAAAGUUAUCCGCAAUAGGCAAACAUGACAGUCAGAGGGGUAUGGAUUUGUUCAGUUCUUUUCUCAUGCAUUAGCAGAAAAGGCUCUUCAGGAUUUUUAUGGUCAUGUGAUGCCAAACCCUGACCAGGCAUCUAAGUUGAACUGGGAUCAUAUCGCAUGGGUGAAAAGCGGUCAGAAGUACCUUCUGGUCACUUAAUAUUUAUCAGUGAUCUAGCUGCUGAUGUUACUGAUGAAGAUCAGCCCCUCCUGAACCUUGUCCCAGUAACACCACCUUUUGAUGUUUUCUUUUUAUGUGUGGAAAGGAACAGAAGAUUUUUCAAUCUCUGUUCCUCGUGUCAAUUACUGAACUUCACGCUGAUGUGCAUGUUCGCUGUUUUCAGAACAACGCCAUAUCAGAUAAAAGCAGAUGGAGCUUCUGUAGGAGGUCUACAAGGCACCGAGUUUUGAAGAACUCUGAUAUCUCAGAACCUGAGACUCUUAGUUCCAGCAAAGCAAAGGCUGACAUUACACCGAGCAACAAUGUUUAUACUUCAACAUAUUCCUAUGCCUCGGAGAAGCCUAUGCAACAAGACAAGCCAGAUGAAGAAGGUAGUCCUAUACACAUCAUAUGAAGAAGAUGGAGUAGAGAAAUCUGGAGGGGGUUCGUGGAGAUCCUGGGCCAUUAUUUGCAGACCAUAGUGACAGCUUGUUGGACCACUUGGGCACUUGGGUUACCAAUGGGGAGUAAUUCCACAACAUGAGUCUCCAACAAUGGGUCAUUUAAGUGAUUUAAGAUUCUGGCAUUUUACUUUUAGCUACCAGGAAGCUGAGAAGGAAUGAUUUCAUCCAUGGGAUGAGAAGAAUGAUGGGUGCCUAGCCUCAUCGAGCUCUUUCACGAACAGUCCAUGUCAUCGACGUUGGUCAACAUGGAAAGGAUUCUGAAGGUCAGGACAUACCGACAUACCGAUCGGGGCACCUCAGAUCAGGCUGUGGUCAGCAGUGGUGGAGGAGAGAGGCAGACGAUGGUGGCAGCAGAAGUGCUAUGAGGAGGUGUGGCAGACACAAUAGUUGGGUGAGUCUUGCUCACAGUGGCUAAGGUCAUGACAGGUCCAUGCAGAGUAGGAAGGCACCUUUUUGUCGCUUGAACCUGUUGCCUGACCUGCAAGUGUCGGGCGGUGCACCUGUGCCCUUGUUGCCGCGAUGCUGUGGGUUUUGAGUUGGACAGCUGAUGGAGUGCAAAUCUCUGGCCUGCCAGGUAGUCCUCCUGGUUGUUGGUUCCUGCAUCUAUUUCUGAUUGCGGGUAGGGUAUACCUGAAGAAAUGAACCUUAGUCGUGUCCUGACGACGAUAUGGUAGCCUUGUGGAA